rnacentral:rRNA from 1 species
AAUCAACGCUGGCGGCGCGCUUAACACAUGCAAGUCGAACGAGAAAGUGGAGCAAUCCAUGAGUAAAGUGGCGUACGGGUGAGUAACACGUGGGUAAUCUACCCUUUGGUGGGGAAUAACUCUGGGAAACCGGAGCUAAUACCGCAUAAUCCUGAAAAGGAAAAGUCGCAAGACGCCGAAGGAGGAGCCCGCGGCCGAUUAGCCAGUUGGUAGGGUAAUGGCCUACCAAAGCGAAGAUCGGUAGCCGGCCUGAGAGGGCACACGGCCACA